UACGAAGGGGGCUAGCGUUGUUCGGAAUUACUGGGCGUAAAGCGCACGUAGGCGGACAUUUAAGUCAGGGGUGAAAUCCCGGGGCUCAACCCCGGAACUGCCUUUGAUACUGGGUGUCUAGAGUGUGGAAGAGGUGAGUGGAAUUCCGAGUGUAGAGGUGAAAUUCGUAGAUAUCAGGAAGAACACCCGUGGCUAAGGCGGCUCUCUAGUACGGUACUGACGCUGAGACGCGAAAGCGUGGGGAGCGAACAGG
rnacentral:rRNA from 1 species